AAUCCUUUCAUCAAUGGUUAACUGCAUUGGAGCUUGUUGUGCAAUUGCCUAAAGUAACUAGGAAAAUAAAACUAACAUUCACAUUUUAACGAAAAUGUACAGCACUGAAGAGGCUUUCAGGGUAGGGCAUAGCUGCAAUACCUGAGCGUUCCCUAGGUUUCCAACCUUAGAUGCUAUCACAAUGGGGGAACCUGGUGUGCUGACUCUAAGGAACAGUACGGAGCAUAGAGAGGAGUAGAGACACCACAGCCAGGCUCUGUGACCAGGUGGGGACUCGAUUGUUCUUGUGCACACCGAGACUGAUAAGCUGCACUUUUUGCUAUCCUGAGCCAACGUUCUGUCAUGUUUUGACAAAUGCUGUACUCUAGUGUACUUUUGCUCAUUAUAAUAUCAUUAUAAUACCAAAAAAACACCCCCAUCCCAAAAGCCACUUGCCUCCAAGGUGUGACCACCCCUCACUGAGCAUGCGCUCUGAAUUUCUCGGAGACUAUACCUUUAAACAGAGACGGGAAAACUUUUCACCAAUCAUAACUAAGAUAUGCUUGACUAGAGUCACUCAAGCUCCACCA